rnacentral:rRNA from 1 species
CCUACGGGCGGCAGCAGUGGGGAAUAUUGGGCAAUGGGCGCAAGCCUGACCCAGCAAUGCCGCGUGAAGGAAGACGGCUUUCGGGUUGUAAACUUCUUUGACAGGGGAAGAGCAGAAGACGGUACCCUGAAAACAAGCCACGGCUAACUACGUGCCAGCAGCCGCGGUAAUACGUAGGUGGCACGCGUUGUCCGGAUUUACUGGGGGUAAAGGGCGUGGUGCGGGGAAGGCAAGUCAGAUGUGAAAUCCGGAGGCUCAACCUCCGAAUGGCAUUUGAAACUGUUUUUCUUGAGUACUGGAGAGGCAGACGGAAUUCCUUGUGUAGCGGUGAAAUGCAUAGAUAUAAGGAGGAACACCAGUGGCGAAGGCAGUCUGCUGGACAGCAACUGACGGUGAGGCGCGAAAGCGUGGGGAGCGAACAGGAUUAGAUACCCCAGUAGUC